rnacentral:rRNA from 1 species
UUGGAAACUAAUAAGAGGUCCAGCCUGCCCAAUGAUAAAUUAAAUGGCCGCGGUAUUCUGACCGUGCGAAGGUAGCACAAUCACUUGUCUUUUAAAUAAGGACUAGUAUGAAAGGCAUCACGAGGACUUUACUGUCUCCCUCUUUCAAUUAAUGAAACUGAUCUCCCCGUGAAAAAGCGAGGAUAAAACUAUAAGACGAGAAGACCCCAUGGAGCUUUAAACCUAAGCUAACUGUUUUCUAAUCAUCAUAGGAAAAAACAACAAUAGUCUCUUGGUUUUUGGUUGGGGCAACCACGGAGAACAAAAAACCCUCCAUAAUAAACGUACAAGUACUAAGUCUAGAAAAACACUUCUAAACAUCAAAAACCUGAUACCUAUUGACCCAUUAAAUGUUUGAUCAAUGAACCAAGUUACCCUGGGGAUAACAGCGCAAUUCAUUAUUAGAGUCCAUAUCGACUAAUGAGUUUACGACCUCGAUGUUGGAUCAGGGUAUCCAAGUGGKGCAGCCGCUACUAAAGGUUCGUUUGUUCAACGAUUAAAACCCUACRUGAUCUGAGUUCAAACCGGA